rnacentral:rRNA from 1 species
AUUGAACGCUGGCGGCAGGCCUAACACAUGCAAGUCGAACGGUAACAGGAAGCAGCUUGCUGCUUUGCUGACGAGUGGCGGACGGGUGAGUAAUGUCUGGGAAACUGCCUGAUGGAGGGGGAUAACUACUGGAAACGGUAGCUAAUACCGCAUAACGUCGCAAGCCCAAAGAGGGGGACCUUAGGGCCUCUUGCCAUCGGAUGUGCCCAGAUGGGAUUAGCUAGUAGGUGGGGUAACGGCUCACCUAGGCGACGAUCCCUAGCUGGUCUGAGAGGAUGACCAGCCACACUGGAACUGAGACACGGUCCAGACUCCUACGGGAGGCAGCAGUGGGGAAUAUUGCACAAUGGGCGCAAGCCUGAUGCAGCCAUGCCGCGUGUAUGAAGAAGGCCUUCGGGUUGUAAAGUACUUUCAGCGGGGAGGAAGGGAGUAAAGUUAAUACCUUUGCUCAUUGACGUUACCCGCAGAAGAAGCACCGGCUAACUCCGUG